AAGAUGACGUCAUCACAUGUUGCUGCUAUGUCAUCACUUUGUCUUUAGAGAUGGAGUCCACUACAUUCACGAGAGGAUAGAUGGAAAAGCAAAAUGUCUGCGUUUUUAUUUUAAGAGAAUUCAAUACAGAGGAAGCAAAGUGACAACAUGCAUCCAUUGCUGUCGUUGUGAAAGCACAAGGCACAUUGUAUUCUUCUGAACGGCAUUCAGAGUAAACAUGUAGAUGUGAUGUUCAUGGUUGGUUGGGUUCUCAACUGUUUGGGUUUCGGUACCUUGAAGGUGUUCGAAAAGUAGAGUCACUUUCUAUAGACUUCUAUACAACCAGAGGAGUCGCCCCCUGGUGGUCAGGAGAGAGAAUGCACAGGGUGUCCGCGGGGCAUUAAAAAGUCUUAAAAAGUCUUAAAUUGCUUUUCCUAAAAAUAAGGCCUUAAAAAGUCUUAAAUUGUCUUAAAUUCAGAUUGGAUUGGUCUUAAAUUUUUUGGGUGUCAUGUCAUUACGAAUAUGAGGCAAUCUGUUCCGCCACGUCCGUAUUUUGCUCCGGUUGCUCUGCGGUGUCUCUGGUGUCACCGGGGCCACGCCCCUUCUCUUAAAGGGGCCCCGCGUAUUCGGUCCCAUCAAUCCCCUACAACGUGAAGCAUCGGCUACUUUAGAAAACAUGGCAGGAGGCAAGUUCAACAACGGCUUGAAAAGAACGAGUGUUUCUGGUCACGGUCGGUGAAAUGCUUCUGAAGCUGCGUUGUGUGUCGGGAGACUUUCCAGCGGUGGAAUCUCACGAGCAGAGCAAGAAGCACAGAGACUAGCGAAUGCCGCCAGCAGCCCGCGGGGCUAGCUGCUGCUCCGCCGCAAGUUCCUGCUCCGCCGCGAGCUGCUGCUCCGCCGCUAGCUCCUGCUCCGCCGCUAGCUCCUGCUCCGCCGCCCGCAACAACGUCAACUACAACGCUGGAGGUCACCGGAGGAAAUCCAGCGCCGUGCAACAAAGAGCUCAUCACCGAAGUCCAACGCUGCAGUGAGUUCUUCAUUCUGUUCCACGAGACUCUGGACCAGACCACCGCGAGCAGACAGCUGGACUUCAUGUGCGCUAUUGGUGAAAUGACCACGUCCAGUCAGGAUCCUAUGGAGCACAGCUCAUGGGCCAUGACACGCCCAGGACCUACUUCAGCAUCUCAAAGAGAAUGGACCAAAUGUCAACUGGAAGUUUUUGUAUUCAUACAGUUUGAAAAGGAUUGUUUUCCUAGUAUAUUCACAAAAGCUCAGGAGUAGACAUGAACCUGUGCACAAACAUCCAUCACAUAGAGAUAUGAGAACUCACUCACUCUCUCACACACACACACACACACACACAUACAUUCUAUUAUGUAAAUGUAUUUGCAUUUUAAAAGCAGCUGGAAAUGUUAUUUAUGUUAUUUUAUAGAUUUUUUUUGUUCAAAAGGAACUGUUGCACGUAUUUAAAAAAUAUAUUUACUUGAUUUUAUAGACAUUUGUUCAUGGGACCUAAAUGUUCUGAAAAUGUUGUAUUAAUAAAUAUAAUUUACAACAGCAA